rnacentral:miRNA from 1 species
CAUAUGUAUAUAAGUAUAAAUGUAUAUUUCAGUGUGUAUACAUACACGUAUAUACACACACACACAUAUAUAUAUAUUUAUAUGUGUGUGUGUGUGUGUGUAUACAUAUAUUCCAGAAU